AAAGGAGAUUUUCGAUGAAGGUGAUAACACAAAGCUUAAGAUCCUGACAUGCAGGCAGCAGUGAAGGAGUCUGCAUCACCAAUUCUUCUCUUGACCCUCCUAUAGCUGAAACGAAAGUGAAUAUUUGUGGGGUUCACUGUGUCCAAGGAUGACCAAGUGAUGGUGAAUGCAUGGGUUAUUGAGCGAGAUACUACCAUAUGCCUAAUGGAAGUUGUGUUUAUGAUGCCUGAAGGAAGUUAUUAUGGUUUUGAGAAGAUUUGUGAUAUCUGUGAAGGUUUUUGUUGCCAAUACUGUUCUCUUUAUUUUUCUAAUAAAAUUUAUAUUUGCGUUUUGAAAUUA